rnacentral:rRNA from 1 species
UACGGAGGGGGCUAGCGUUGUUCGGAAUUACUGGGCGUAAAGCGCACGUAGGCGGCUUUGUAAGUCAGAGGUGAAAGCCUGGAGCUCAACUCCAGAACUGCCUUUGAGACUGCAUCGCUUGAAUCCAGGAGAGGUGAGUGGAAUUCCGAGUGUAGAGGUGAAAUUCGUAGAUAUUCGGAAGAACACCAGUGGCAAAGGCGGCUCACUGGACUGGUAUUGACGCUGAGGUGCGAAAGCGUGGGGAGCAAACAGG